GACGAACGCUGGCGGCGUGCUUAACACAUGCAAGUCGAACGGAAAGGCCUUUUCGGAGGUACUCGAGUGGCGAACGGGUGAGUAACACGUGGGUGAUCUGCCCUGCACUCUGGGAUAAGCCUGGGAAACUGGGUCUAAUACCGGAUAGGACCGCACUUUUGUGUGUUUGGUGGAAAGUUUUUUGGGUGUAGUGUGAGCCCGCGGCCUAUCGGCUUGUUGGUGGGGUAAUGGCCUACCAAGGCGGCGACGGGUAGCCGGACUGGGGGGUUGUUCGGGCACAUGGGGAAUGAGAGAGGGCACAGAGACAGAGGGGGGGAAGAAGGGGGGAAUAUGGAAAAAGGGGGGAAAGCUAGAUGCAGCGACGCCGGGGGGGGGAUGACGGGCUUAGGGUGGAAAAAAAAUUUGGCAAGGGAAGAAGCGUUUUGUGACGGUAACUGGAGAAGAAGCACCGGCUAACUACGUG
rnacentral:rRNA from 1 species